rnacentral:rRNA from 1 species
UACGUAGGGGGCAAGCGUUAUCCGGAUUUACUGGGUGUAAAGGGAGCGCAGACGGCAGUGCAAGUCUGGAGUGAAAGCCCGGGGCCCGACCCCGGGACUGCUCUGGAAACUGUACGGCUGGAGUACGGGAGGGGCAGGCGGAAUUCCUAGUGUAGCGGUGAAAUGCGUAGAUAUUAGGAGGAACACCGGCGGCGAAGGCGGCCUGCUGGACCGAAACUGACGUUGAGGCUCGAAAGCGUGGGGAGCAAACAGG